rnacentral:rRNA from 1 species
UACGAAGGGUGCAAGCGUUACUCGGAAUUACUGGGCGUAAAGCGUGCGUAGGUGGUUUGUUAAGUCUGUUGUGAAAGCCCCGGGCUCAACCUGGGAAUGGCAAUGGAUACUGGCAGGCUAGAGUGCGGUAGAGGGUAGUGGAAUUCCCGGUGUAGCGGUGAAAUGCGUAGAGAUCGGGAGGAACACCAGUGGCGAAGGCGGCUACCUGGACCAGCACUGACACUGAGGCACGAAAGC